GAGUACUGGGAAAAAGGAAAUACCCAGACAUUUGAGGGAUCACUGACACUGCUUCUGAAUUAAUGCUAAUUCCUGAGGAUUGCAAACACCACUGGAUCCACCAAUCAAAAUGGGGAUCUAUGGGUGAAGUUUAUUAUGGUAAGACAGGCCAAAUGGAAGCCUCUGGAAUUUCCUCUUGAUACCAGAAUAGAAAACCAACAACAAUGCUCAAUCCCUGGAAAUAUGUAGAAAUUGGUACCACCAGAAAAGACGUAGAAGAUACAGGAAUGAUAAUACUGUCACAUCUCCAUUUAACUCACCUGUUGGGCCUAUGCAAAAGAUCUUAGAGAAUAACUAUGAUUUGUUAUUAAGUUGUAAACUUAAUCAAAUGGU
rnacentral:lncRNA from 10 species